rnacentral:rRNA from 1 species
CACAAGCGGUGGAUGAUGUUGGUUUAAUUCGAUGCAACGCGAAAACCUUACCACCUUGACAUGUACGGAACCCUUUAGAGAUAGAGGGGUGCUCGAAAGAGAGCCGUAACACAGGUGCUGCAUGGCUGUCGUCAGCUCGUGUCGUGAGAUGUUGGGUUAAGUCCCGCAACGAGCGCAACCCUUGUCAUUAGUUGCUACAUUCAGUUGGGCACUCUAAUGAGACUGCCGGUGACAAGCCGGAGGAAGGUGGGGAUGACGUCAAGUCCUCAUGGCCCUUAUAGGUGGGGCUACACACGUCAUACAAUGGCUGGUACAAAGGGUUGCCAACCCGCGAGGGGGAGCCAAUCCCAUAAAGCCAGUCGUAGUCCGGAUCGUAGUCUGCAACUCGACUACGUGAAGUCGGAAUCGCUAGUAAUCGUGGAUCAGAAUGUCACGGUGAAUACGUUCCCGGGUCUU